rnacentral:lncRNA from 1 species
CUUGCUUUUAGAAACUUUAAGGUUAGGUCAGGUCUUGUAAGUUCAAGGUAUUCUAAAUGUCAGUUCUUGGACCAACCAAUAAUCUUGGCAUGAUGUGUCUUAAAUCCUAUAAAAGCGAAGGAUGUUGCCAGUUACAACAAAUCGUAUCCUCACCAUAAGAUAAUCAGGUGUAAAUUGUUAAAACAGUUGUUGAACUUGAUGGGGCAAAAAAGAACCCUUGAAAUUGAGACGUGAAGCCCUGACUUUAUUGUGCAACUUGAUAUGUUGCUCUCCUAAUUCGUGGUGACUUCUGCCUUUCAGGGAAGGGGCUCUACUGGAAACAAUUUUAGAUUUGUUUGGAGGAGACUGGUUGCAUUGAUUGCAUUGUUUUAAGUGGUGAUUCUUUUUCUUCCUUGGUUAGACCAGUUCUUGGAAUCAUAUCCUUUCUUAGGUGACUAGGCCUGCUGCACAAUAAUAGGCUAACUAAAGUCAGAAGAAGGUCAGCAAAGAUGGCUGGGUGAGCUUGGAGCCCUUUGCUUAGAAGGGCAGAGAUAAGAAACGUUGAUUGUGGUUGACAGAAUCUCCUGUUCUAAAUUGUAAGACGGUUUUACCUGGUGGUUGUAAAAGAGUCUGCUAUGAAACUCUAAACCUUUAAACUGUAAGGGUCAAGGGAUUGUGUUCCAUUUUAUAUAAGAAUCAAGUAAUCAACUCAUCCUGAAUGCUUCUCAUUGUAGGCAUUCAACAUAUACUUGUUAAAUGAUUGGAGAUGGUGAUUUUUUAUGCUGGGAGGAUAACUCCUAAUUUUUUGCUAUAUUCAAAAUUAGACACUGUUCUUACUAGUACUGUGUAACCACUGCAGAUGUUCUAACCCUGUUUUUACUUUAGACCAGC